rnacentral:lncRNA from 10 species
UCAGCUUUAAAGCCCCCUCCUCCACUGUAGGUAGUUACUGACUUUUAAAUAAAAGCUGAAAUGCGCAAGGGUAGCAGAGCAGGGAGAGGUGGGGAGGGGAUCUGUCAGCAACACUGGGUGCUAGGGACCUCUUUCAACAAACUCUUCUCCCCAAACCUGUUUUGUCUGAGAGUGGGAAACAUGGGGACUGGCCGGGUGCAUGUUGAAAAACCUCCCAGGUGAUUCAAUUAACAUCUCCUUUUCUGGUUAAGAACUUAGAACCCACAGAGAGAAAAAAUCAUUGAAUCGCUCAGGAUGAUCUCUGUGCAAUGCAGACAGAGACAUACAUUGCCCGCAGGUGUCCACUUUGCAAACAGGACUUUGUUCCUAUUGGAUUUUCUUAAAGCAGGGCACCUGGGAGAGAGCCAGGGACUCGCAGACACAGCUGCCUAGGUACCAAAGAGGCAGUGCCUGCUGUCUCGUGCCUGGACAGGCCGGGGAGCUUCCUGACCUCUGCCCGCAGCCUGCACGCCCGUCUGAAUAGCCUUGGCGGAAGAGGGGGAGGAGGAAGGACGGACAGCUCGUCUGCGUGGAAGGCAGCAAGCGCAGAUGUUUUCAGCAGCAGAUGGCAGACUCCAGCAGAGCCCUCCACAGCCCUCUUGGCCCCCGCAAGGAGAAGCCGCAGUGUGUCCUGUUGUGUCCGGAAU